AGAGCGAACGCUGGCGGCAGGCCUAACACAUGCAAGUCGAGCGGCCGUAGCAAUACGGCAGCGGCAGACGGGAGAGUAACACGUGGGAACGCGCCCUUCGGUUCGGAAUAACUCAGGGAAACUUGGGCUAAUACCGGAUACGCCCUUACGGGGAAAGAUUUAUUGCCGAAGGAACGGCCCGCGUCCGAUUAGCUUGUUGGUGAGGUAACGGCUCACCAAGGCGACGAUCGGUAGCUGGUCUGAGAGGAUGACCAGCCUCACUGGGACUGAGACACGGCCCAGACUCCUACGGGAGGCAGCAGUGGGGAAUAUUGGACAAUGGGCGCAAGCCUGAUCCAGCCAUGCCGCGUGGGUGAUGAAGGCCCUAGGGUUGUAAAGCUCUUUUGUGCGGGAAGAUAAUGACGGUACCGCAAGAAUAAGCCCGGCUAACUUCGCGCCAGCAGCCGC
rnacentral:rRNA from 1 species